UUGAACGCUGGCGGCAGGCCUCACACAUGCACGUCGAGCGGAUGAAGGGAGCUUGCUCCUGGACUCAGCGGCGGACGGGUGAGUAAUGCCUAGGAAUCUGCCUGGUAGUGGGGGAUAACGUCCGGAAACGGGCGCUAAUACCGCAUACGUCCUGAGGGAGAAAGUGGGGGAUCUUCGGACCUCACGCUAUCAGAUGAGCCUAGGUCGGAUUAGCUAGUUGGUGGGGUAAAGGCCUACCAAGGCGACGAUCCGUAACUGGUCUGAGAGGAUGAUCAGUCACACUGGAACUGAGACACGGUCCAGACUCCUACGGGAGGCAGCAGUGGGGAAUAUUGGACAAUGGGCGAAAGCCUGAUCCAGCCAUGCCGCGUGUGUGAAGAAGGUCUUCGGAUUGUAAAGCACUUUAAGUUGGGAGGAAGGGCAGUAAGUUAAUACCUUGCUGUUUUGACGUUACCAACAGAAUAAGCACCGGCUAACUUCGUG
rnacentral:rRNA from 1 species